rnacentral:rRNA from 1 species
CUACCGGGGUAUCUAAUCCUGUUCGCUACCUACGCUUUCGUCCAUCAGCGUCAGUACAUUAUUAGUGAUCUGCCUUCGCAAUCGGUAUUCUGAGUAAUAUCUAUGCAUUUCACCGCUACACUACUCAUUCUAACCACUUCAUAAUGACUCAAGAUCUACAGUAUCAAUGGCAGUUCUCCCGUUGAGCGGAAGACUUUCACCACUGACUUAUAGACCCGCCUACGGACCCUUUAAACCCAAUGAUUCCGGAUAACGCUUGGAUCCUCCGUAUUACCGCGGCUGCUGGCAC